UACGAAGGGGGCUAGCGUUGCUCGGAAUUACUGGGCGUAAAGGGAGCGUAGGCGGGUUAUCAAGUUGGGGGUGAAAGCCCGGGGCUCAACCUCGGAAUUGCCUUCAAAACUGAUAACCUGGAGUAUGGAAGAGGUAAGUGGAACUCCGAGUGUAGAGGUGAAAUUCGUAGAUAUUGGGAAGAACACCGGUGGCGAAGGCGGCGACCUGGUCCUUGACUGACGCUGAGGCGCGAAAGCGUGGGGAGCAAACAGG
rnacentral:rRNA from 1 species